rnacentral:rRNA from 1 species
AACCAGCACCUCAAGUGGUCAGGAGGAUUAUUGGGCCUAAAGCAUCCGUAGCCGGCUCUGUUAGUUUUCGGUUAAAUCCAUGUGCUCAACACAUGGGCUGCCGAAAAUACUGCAGAGCUAGGGAGUGGGAGAGGUAGACGGUACUCGGUAGGAAGGGGUAAAAUCCUUUGAUCUAUCGAUGACCACCUGUGGCGAAGGCGGUCUACCAGAACACGUUCGACGGUGAGGGAUGAAAGCUGGGGGAGCAAACCGG